AAUGAACGUUGGCGGCGUGGAUUAGGUAUGCAAGUCGAGCGAGAACCCCGCAAGGGGGGACAGCGGCAAACGGGGUAGUAAUGUGUCGGAACGUGCCCAGAGGACGGGGAUAGCGGCGGGAAACUGCCGGUAAUACCCGAUGAUCUCGAGAGAGCAAAGGUGUGAUUCCGCCUUUGGAGCGGCCGACAUGGUAUUAGCUAGUUGGCGGGGUAACGGCCCACCAAGGCUUUGAUGCCUAGGGGAUGUGAGAGCAUGAUCCCCACCAUUGGGACUGAGACACUGCCCAGACACCUACGGGUGGCUGCAGUCGAGAAUCUUCGUCAAUGGGCGAAAGCCUGAACGAGCGACGCCGCGUGCGGGAUGAAGGCCCUUGGGUUGUAAACCGCUGUCGAGGGGGAUGAAGGCAUUCAGGUACUCCUGAAUGUUUGACAGAGCCCUGGAGGAAGCACGGGCUAAGUUCGUGCCAGCCGCCGCGGUAAAAC
rnacentral:rRNA from 1 species